rnacentral:lncRNA from 10 species
AUAUGCUGAAAUAGACUACAGAAUAUUUAGAUCUUGGCCACUGAGUGAAAAUAUGCUGGAAUAGACUACAGAAUGUUUAGACCCACCACUCUCCUACCGUAAAAUACAACCCGGUUCUGGUUGGAUUGGCCUUCACCUGCCUAACCUAUUUUCCUUGGUCUUUUCACACUCUGUGAUUUAAUAUUUAUUUCAAUUCCCUGAUUCAAACCAACCAUGUGUCCAGAGUGACUUUGUAAACCCAGUCCGGGCUGAACUGAGGCUGAAACUCCAAGUCCCUCUGGGCUUUUAAGGUUUACAGAUCUCAGGAGUGAACAUUUUCUUACCAAGUCACUGCUCUCAAAACAAACCCUGGAAUGGAAGCUUCAUUAUCUUGUGGCCAUCAGUCCACGUUUCUUCCCCUUCUGCCCUGUUGAGUUUAUGUGUGUUUUAUCUCCCUCCCGAGAGGGACUAUACUUUGUUGGUGUUAAAGUGAUCACGCUGGAGAGUUUAUAUAUUCUCUCAUUUUCAAAAAAAUCUAUCUUUGAUUCCUAAAUGCCUACAUUCACAGCACUUUACAGCUGAAAGUGGCUGAGGUUGGGGCAUUCGCUGGA